rnacentral:rRNA from 1 species
UGGGGAAUCUUGGACAAUGGGCGCAAGCCUGAUCCAGCCAUGCCGCGUGAGUGAAGAAGGCCUUAGGGUUGUAAAGCUCUUUUGCCAGGGACGAUAAUGACGGUACCUGGAGAAUAAGCCCCGGCAAACUUCGUGCCAGCAGCCGCGGUAAUACGAAGGGGGCUAGCGUUGUUCGGAUUUACUGGGCGUAAAGCGCACGUAGGCGGGUCGUUAAGUCAGGGGUGAAAUCCCGGAGCUCAACUCCGGAACUGCCUUUGAUACUGGCGACCUUGAGGCUGGAAGAGGUUAGUGGAAUGCCCAGUGUAGAGGUGAAAUUCGUAGAUAUUGGGAAGAACACCAGUGGCGAAGGCGGCUAACUGGUCCAGAUCUGACGCUGAGGUGCGAAAGCGUGGGGAGCAAACA